rnacentral:rRNA from 1 species
UACGAAGGGGGCGAGCGUUGUUCGGAAUUACUGGGCGUAAAGGGCGCGUAGGCGGCCGAUCAAGUCAGAUGUGAAAGUCCUGGGCUUAACCUGGGGGACUGCAUUUGAUACUGAUUGGCUUGAAUGCAGGAGAGGAUAGCGGAAUUCCCAGUGUAGAGGUGAAAUUCGUAGAUAUUCGCAAGAACACCAGUGGCGAAGGCGGCUCACUGGCCCGGUACUGACGCUGAGGUGCGAAAGCGUGGGGAGCAACAGG